GACGAACGCUGGCGGCGCGCUUAACACAUGCAAGUCGAGCGAGAACCGGCCUUCGGGCCGGGGAAAGCGGCGAACGGGUGAGUAACACGUGGGUAAUCUGCCCUCGGCACCGGGAUAGCCCGGGGAAACCCGGAUUAAUACCGGAUGGCCCUUUGAGUCCUCGGAUUCAAAGGAAAAGGUAGCUUCGGCCUCCGGCCGAGGAUGAGCCCGCGGCGGAUUAGCUUGUUGGUGGGGUAACGGCCUACCAAGGCGACGAUCCGUAGCUGGUCUGAGGGGACGAUCAGCCACACUGGGACUGAGACACGGCCCAGACUCCUACGGGAGGCAGCAGUGGGGAAUCUUGCGCAAUGGGCGAAAGCCUGACGCAGCGACGCCGCGUGAGGGAAGAAGGCCUUCGGGUUGUAAACCUCUUUCAGGAGGGACGAAGCCACUCGGGUUAAUAGCCCAGAGGGUGACGGUACCUCCAGAAGAAGCCCCGGCUAACUACGUGCCAGCCGCCGCGGUAAGAC
rnacentral:rRNA from 1 species